UAAAGGAGUGUGGCAGCACUGCCCAGCAGACAGGUGGAUUCUUAUACCGUGAGGUCUCGGGAGACUGAGGCUCUAUAGAAGACAGGUUUUGAAGUCAGAGCUGUUCUCUGUGGCUUCUUGCUCUCUCACCCCGUUUCUCCGUCACCCCUAGUGGAACCUUCAUUGAGUUCCGGAAUGGCAUGCUGAACAUCUCGCCCAUUGGCCGCAGCUGCACCCUGGAGGAGAGGAUCGAGUUCUCGGAGCUGGACAAGAAAGAGAAGAUCCGGGAGAAGUUCGUGGCAGCCUUGAAGACAGAGUUUGCUGGCAAGGGGCUAAGGUUCUCCCGAGGAGGUAUGAUAAGCUUCGAUGUCUUCCCUGAGGGCUGGGAUAAGCGC
rnacentral:lncRNA from 1 species